rnacentral:tRNA from 1 species
CGGAUGUACCCAAGGGGAUCAGGGCGGGGGAUUUGGGAUCCCCCCCCCGGCCNG